rnacentral:tRNA from 1 species
AACUCUGUGGUCCAAUGGUAAAGCGUUCGCUGAGGAGCCAGAGGGUCUUGGGUUCGAUCCCAGAUAGGGGUG